rnacentral:rRNA from 1 species
CUGAUAAUUAUUAAAUGGCCGCGGUAUUUUAACCGUGCAAAGGUAGCAUAAUCAUUAGUUUUUUAAUUGAAAACUUGUAUGAAUGAUUGAAUGAAAUAUAAACUGUCUCAUAAAAAUUUAAUUUAGAAUUUUAUUUUUUAGUUAAAAAGCUAAAAUAUAUUUAAAAAGACGAGAAGACCCUAUAGAUCUUUAUAAUAUAAUUUAUUAUUUUUUUUUWGGUUUUUCAUAAAUUAAUUAAUUUUAUUAUUUUGUUGGGGUGACAUUAAAAUUUUUAUAACUUUUAAUUUUUAAAAACAUAAAUUUAUGAUAAUUUGAUCUUUUAUUAUUGAUUAAAAAUUUAAGUUACCUUAGGGAUAACAGCGUAAUUAUUUUGAAGAGUUCAUAUCGAUAAAAUAGAUUGCGACCUCGAUGUUGGAUUAAGAUAAAUUUUAGGYGUAGAAGCUUAAAAAGAUAAGUCUGUUCGACUUUUAAUUUCUUACAUGA